UUCAGCAGUUAUCUUAAGAGAUCCCAUAUUGUGAAAAUUGUGCAUGUGGAAUUGUGCUGUGUGGAUUAUAAACGAGUUGAAGAUAAAACACUGUGAAAGUAUCAAAAGGCAAAGUCCCCACACAAUCUGUAUGAAGAAAAUGUGCAUUUAAACGAGCGUUUGGACUUCUGUGAGGUUAUGACAUCAUAACGAUAGGCUUGUUUGCUUCAGCAGGGGCCACCUUGUAGCCAGACCAAGUGCUUGGCACAGAUGGUGUUUAGUUUGUUGGAGCUAGCCAGCCAAUCAGAACAGAGGUUCAUUGAUAUCAAUGAGCCUUAAAGACACAGUCGCUAAAACAGCCUGUUCUUGGGAAAGCUAAUGAGUAGCGCUGGAGAAUGGACAUGUAAAACUGGAGAGACUUUUGACGGAGCAAAAAAACAGAAACGUCAUUGGUGCUCCAGGACCAGGGUUGCCUCCCCUGUCUGAAAUGGAUCACUUCAUCUCGGGUGUCUGAAUCCAGUUUUUGGUGAGCCACAGCAUGUGCAGGUGUUUUGCAUGAUUCAGCAACCAUGAUUCAUUCAUGUUGUCGAUUGCCUAAAGCAGGGGUGUCAAACUCCAGUCCUGGAGAGCCAGUGUCUGCAGGUUCUUGUCUGAUUCAGCACGAGUGAUUCAUUUCCGUUAUUGAUUGUCUAAAGAGUCAACACACCUUGUUCUGCCUGCUGUUUGAGAGGAAACCACAAAUACCUGCAGACACUGCAGCCCUCCAGGGGUUCAGAUUGAAACCUUUGCCCUAGCCCACAGGUAUCAGCCUCCAGUGCCGGGAGGCCACAGCGUCUGCUGGUUUUCAGGGUGUUCUCGGUACCUGUGGGUUUUUUAAGUGACUGAUUGGCUAUAUGAUCCACACAGCCUGUUCUCAAGGUCUUAAUUGGCAGCUCGAUUGAAAGGAAACCACAAAAACCCACAGACUCGUAUUUUAGCUUGACACCUCUACCCUCGAUGCUUAAACCAGCCAGUAGGUCUGUGAGUUUUCCACCCGAUAGUUAAUUGCUUGAUUAAUGUGACUGAUGAGCCAGAGAUUCCAUCUUCUGGUGCCUCAGGUAAUAUAUCCUGCCCUGAUUAGAGUGGGAAAUGGAAAGAGGCAGAACUUUUCUGGCAUCAAGCACCAGACUUGAGUAAAACUUUCUCUAGACCAGUGGUCUCCAACCCUGGUCCUGGAGAGCCACAGGGUGUGCUGGCUUUUUUUUUUGCCCAAGAAACCAGGUGAGGUGAGUUAACUGUGUAAUUAACUCAUUUAAUUUAUCAAUUAAGUGCUGAGUAACAACACAAGCCAGCACACCCUGCGUUUCUCGAGGAACAGGAGUGAGGACCACUGCUCUACCAUUUCUUUACAAGUGAGAUCCUCAAAUCACCGUCUUCGGCUCCACCCACUGGGAGAGGGUAGAAGAACCAAGAAAAAUAAGUGAAGAUGAGAAAACGUGAAAUAGGCAAAUGGAAUGUCCUUUCUCAUUCAAACGUCAGUUCGAAGCUACGUCAGUUGCAGAUGUGGCAGAUGGAGAGCGGUGGACCCACAGAUCACACUUUCCUCAAAAAUACUUGUGCAAAGGUUGCACUCAUGUUUCCUUGUUCAAAGGAAAGUUUGGGAGUACCCAAAAGGGUUAAAAUGUCAUCUUUAAGAUAAAGAACCUGAAUCAAUUUCCAGGUAAGGAGCAUGGAAAACAGGUGAAAAAUAAUCAAUUGGAAAGCGCCCCCUGUACCAAUUCUAAACCAAAGAAAAACUAACUUGUGAUUCAAUGUAGGAAAAUAAAGUGUCUUAAUUUGUUGGAAGAAAAAGAAAAUGCAAUGAUUAAUCUGAUCACUCAAAAUUAAGUGAAAACCAAGCUGUCCAGAGCUGGUUUACUUACAGAAGCAAGUGACCUGAGCGCUGCCUGCUUUUAGUCAACACAUUUUUCAUGUUUUCCAGUGGAGAGGCACUUUGGUGAGGUCAGAGCAUGCGGUAGUCGUAAUGAGAGCUAAUUGAU